GGUUGACGCACUAAAAAAAUAUUCAUCAAAAGGGCGUUUUUUAAAUGCAUUGAUUCGGCUAUACCUAGCAAAACGAGUAUUUCUACAUUCAUUUGGGAAGAGUUCGGAGGUAAUAUUUGGCUAGGACUACGCCAUAUCUUGGCUUUAGGUAUGUUUAUAUAUUUCCUGUUAAUGCUGCUUUUUUAUGCAAUAGAUGAUAUUAUUUUGUUUAUUUGCACUAGCCCUUUAUGCCCUAGAUUAUAUCAUUUUUUUUUUAAUUUUCUUAUCGUAAUGUCAUAAAUCUUUCUAAACAGCUAUGAUGAAAUGUUUCUAACUACUCCUUUGGUGAUUUAUAGAUUUAUUGUGCAUCCAUUUACUAUUAUACGAUGAAAUAUUUGUGUAGUUUGUCAGCAAAUUCCGGGGUUUGAGUUAUGAUGUCGGCCACUUCACUUAAAAAUUCCAAAGGUUAAGGCCAUCCCCAAGCUUAUCCGUCCCAAGACCCCGCAUAGGUGGGAUUGGCAUUGGGUAAUUGCCCUUUUUUAUUCUAGCGGGGUCUUGUUCAUUAAUAUUUUGUAUUGUGUUGAUGUGUUUCUUUCUUUUCUAUUAUUAUUAAUUUUUGUUUUCUUUGCAUAGAUCCCUGGCUGACCCCAUUUAAUUAGGAUAAUGUUUUACUAUUGUUGUUGUGAGAUUUUGAUGUUGUUUUUAUUGUUGUUCUUGUAUCAGCUUUCGUUUUAAUCCCAUUAGUUUAGCUAUUCUUCGUUAAUUUCAACAGUAUUGUUAUUGUAUAAGCGUGCUACUUUUGUCUGUUGACGUUACUAUCUGUCAUAUUGAAAAUGUUAUCUUGAUGUUUUAGUGCAUGUAUUAGGGUGCAGGUACAGUAUCAACUACAUUUACAACAAGAAGUGAUAUAUCCAAGGUUUGCAAAUAUUGUGUUGUAAGUUGGUUCGAAUUUUUUUUUUCCUUAUCAUUGUCUGCUAUCUUGUUUAUAUAGUUCUAAUAAACUUGAUUCUUGAUUUGUCCAACACAGGGAUAUUCAAAACAAGGAUAUCCAAGAAUGAAACUUAAAGUUUCUUCAAAAUCUAAAUGUACAAAGAACACUUCGGUUAAGCAGCAAAAAUAUAUUAAAGUUCUGGAGGAAAGCCACCAUCGGAUCAAUGAUUUACCAGGUUUUUUAUUUCCUUCAUGGCUUCCAUUUUGAUGUUGGCUUCCCUCAAAUGGUGUCCAAAUCAAAGCAGGAGAACUUUUUCCUUCCUAUGAAUCUGCUUGGUUACAAAAUGCAGAUGGCAACUUUUUCUCUUGUUAAUUUUUUUUUGAGUGAAACGCUCAGGAAGCUCUUUGUGAGUGGAUAUCAAUGUGGAGCACAAAUGACACUUAAACCAGAAUUCCGGUUUCUUGAAUCAAGUUUUAGUUGGUGCUUUUAGAGAAGUUUUUCAUGAUAUUCAGAACCUAAUCUAUCAGUAUUCCAGUAAGGGAAAUUCACUGUUGGACAUGGUAAAGGCUGGAAGCAAAGGAUAAUCUUUUGAAACUGCUCAGCAAAGGUUGUGCCUUGGUUUGCAGCAUCCUUCAGUUCCAGUAUCUUUCAGAAUCCCGGAAGGCUUUCUUGUUAUAUGUGGAAUUAUCAGAAAGCUUAUGAAACUUCUGUGCAUAAUGAACCCAUUAGCAUGUUGAGAUAAUUCUUUUAGUGAGAAUGCGGACCUCCAUGGUACUUUGGCAAGAAAUUAAGCUUAUGUUUUAUAUAUGAGAUCUCUACCUUGCUUGUGAUGGGUACAGUGAGAAGUGCUCGUGGGAAUCAGCUUUGCUUGAACUAUUAGGGAAGGACAGCCUCAAUGUAUACAUCAACACUCUCUCGCAUGUGCAGGUCAAGAACCCAUGGUUCUCGCAUCAUUUCCUUCACACAACCCGCCCGCCAGGGGGGGGUGGGAAGGGAAACAGCAUCAAUGUAUACUAUUUCCUGCAAUGUUGGGAAAUAAUCCUGUUUACAUCCUAUGAAUCAAUUAUUGGAAAACCGAAGCUGCCAAAAAAAAAAAAAAAAAGCUUCUCAUGAUUCAUAUUGAAAAGCAAUAAUAGUUCUGUAUCUUUUUUUC